NNNNNAGGUGGUGUAUACCAUCACUCUGGAAUUGAAAGUGGAAUACUAUCACAGUUUUUAGUGUCUCCUGAAUUGCAGAAGUUGACGUCAGUUUCAAUGCAAGUUAAUGUUGAUGGACUUCCACUUUUCAAAAGCUCAAAUGCCCAGUUCUGACCAGUUCUUGGUUUAAUUGAGCAAUACGUGUGUAAUGUCCAACAAAACAAACUUCCAUUUGUCAUUGGUCUCUAUUAUGGGAAGAAGAAGCCAAGCAGCCUUCACUUUUUGAAUCCUUUUGUAGAAGAGGCACAGCGACUUGAAGCGGAAGGAGUUCUGUUUGAAAGGAGAGCACUUCCUUUCAAAAUAUCAACAUUUAUCUGUGACGCCCCUGCUCGUGCACUUGUUCGAAAUGUGAAAGGUCACAGUGGAUAUUAUGGGUGUGACAAGUGUGUUCAAAAGGGGGUCCACUACGAGAACAGGAUGACCUUUCCUCAAACAGAUUCUGCUCCAAGAUUAGACCAUGCAGUCCAUGACGAACUUUCUGACGACAGUCAUCAGUGUGGAGAAACGCCAUUGGCAUUGUUGUCUGUUGGUUUGGUCACCCUGUUCCCACUGGAUUAUAUGCAUCUGGUAUGCCUUGGAGUGACAAGAAAGUUGUUGCAUCUUUGGCUAAAGGGACGGCGGCUGACAAGUUUUUCGCCCAGCAUGGUAAAAGAGCUCUCCAGAGUACUCCUGACCUUCACACCUCAUGUUCCGUGCGAGUUCAACAGGAAGCAACGAUCCAUGGAAGAUGUUGAGCGUUGGAAAGCUACAGAAUUCAGGCAGUUCCUCUUGUACACUGGACCAGUCAGCUUAAAAGGCCUUGUACCAACUCAAGUGUACAACAACUUCAUGCUGCUUUCAGUUGGCAUCACCAUCCUACUGAAUGUGUCCCUGUGUGCUGACCUUGCAGACUAUGCACACAGAAUAUUGGUUCUCUUUGUUGAUCACUGCAGCAAGCUUUAUGGAAAAGAACAUGUGACAUACAACAUGCAUGGAUUGGUGCACCUCAGCCAAGAUGCCAAAAAGUAUGGCGUCCUUGAUAACAUAUCAUGCUUCCCAUUUGAAAACUUCCUUGGGUGUCUGAAGAAACUGUUGCGCAAGCCUGCACAACCACUGGAGCAGGUUGUUCGCCGAUUGUCAGAGAGAAGUCAGCACAGAAGAACAAACAUCUCCAAAACAAGGUCCUUGAGAGAGCACAACCAUGGACCACUUCUCAACAGUCUUUCUGUGAAAAAGCAGUAUGAGGAGUGUUACUUUCAAGACUUUGUUGUGAAACGUUCAGAGGGAGACAACUGUGUCCUGUUGGAAAAUAAAGACAUAGUUGUUAUACAGAAUGUCGUCGUUGAUGAAAUGGACAACACUUUGCUCAUCUACAAGAGGUUCCGGAACAUGGUCGAUUUCUUCACUUACCCUGUGGAAUCUUCCAAGCUAGGCAUUUUUCAUUUAUCUGGCCUAUCAGAUACACUCCGCUUUACCCAUAUAGCAAAUGUGCAGAAGAAAUAUUAUCUUCUUCCUUGCCUGGAUGGAAAGGCUGGUUUUCCGUUGAUCCACUUGUAAAAAUGACUGCUUUUUUUGAAGGGGUGAGAAUUUA
ensembl:lncRNA